AGCCAACUGCAAGGAGAGGGGCAUAGGGAUGGAGACGGGAGCGAGGGAGCCCUCUAGAGACCAGGAAAGGGGAGAAGCCAGGACAGCUGAUGGAGACGGGGGCGGAGAGCCCAAGCGCCUGCAGGUGCGCUCUGUUCUCUACCUUCGAGGCCUUAAGAGCAGUCUGGGUGUGAUAGCAUUGCAAUAUCUAAAUGGGAACAUUGUGCCUCAAGCUCAAAGACAUUUGCUAAGGUCCCUGCAGCUAUGCAAGACCAAGUGACUGCUGUGAUGGCUGCUCAAGGAGCCCCUGAAAUAAAGGGUUGUUUGGGAUUGCUGUGAAGGUUCUUUUUAAGGGAGGAAGUACCCCUGCCUUUUCUUUUGCUCCAUUCUGCUGCCUGGGAUGGAUAUGCAAUGGUUGAAGCUGUAGCAGCCCUCUUAGACUGUGAGGAGGAGGAGGGCCCCAUACAAGGGACGGUGGAGAGUGAGCUGGCACACACCUUGUGUCCUCAAUCACUUUGCAGAGUGCCAGAUGCUUCCAGCACCACCAGACCUGGGUAGUGAUAAGGUGGCAGAGCAGCUUGCCCCUCCACUGGGACUCCUGCAUCCUCAAUCCAAUCCCAGGAGAAAGGGGAGGGAAAAGGGGUAGGGAAGCAAGAGAGGAGAGUGAGUACAUAUGAGCAGGCAUUAGUCA